CAGAAGCAAUGCACAACUUGCCCUAAAGCCCUGACCCAGCAAGGAGGACAGCUGCUGUGGGCAGGAGGAGUUGGGUGCCUAUGGAGGACAAAGUGGUUGUAACGUGGGCACCUGUGUCCUGCAGCUGCUGGGAAAGGGAGGCGAGGGCUCCCUGCCCUAAUUAAUUUGGAGUGACCUGGAGAUAAAUCAAGGCUGAAUGCAUGCAGAUUGCCUGAGCUCUGAAAUUGCAUUCCAGGCACGUAGCUGCUCAAUGGCUUUUAAAUGGGGCUCUGGUAGCACAGCCUCGCAGCGAGUGCAUGCUCCCAUGGCUGCUGCUGAGCUGCUGCUUUACACAGGUGGCACAUCUGCAAGAUGCAAAGCAGAGGUGACCUUCCAGGAAGGGUUUGGAGGUGAAAUGCCUGUUCAGAUUAUAGAAGGAAGUUCUUUCCACCCACUGAAAGUGGCACAAAUGCAGUUUGACACUGGGAGGAAAAUGAAACAAGUCAAAGGAGUGAAUGCUUCCUCUAUGUACAAUUCACCCACAAAGUGAAUCAGUGAGUGGCAUUGGUGUCUGCUGUACAGAAGAGUUACUAACACAGCUGAUUGCUGUGUUCCAGGCUGUACAAUAAAGACAGUUCUUCAUAAUAGUCUCUGCUACA
rnacentral:lncRNA from 1 species